AUGAUGAAGUGUGAAAGACACCAUCAGUUGCAUCCUUCCAAUCCUCUCCGUAAACCCAUCCUCCCCAAAAGGAUCUUUAAUAUGCUGGAAACAGAUUCCAAGUUGUCCAUUUUAUUAAAUAAUAUGGGAUUUACCAAAUCAUCUGGUAUGAGAUGUCAUCAUGUAUGAUCUCCACCAACAUCCUAGCCACUACAAUUGUCAUUCAUCUGACUGAGUUUAUCUUUGGCACGUUCAAAGUCAUGCUAUAAUAGUGCUUAAGAGUGGUCCAGCUAUGUUUAGGAUAAAAUAUCCUUACUUUGAAUAUUUAAAUUCAAAAAAAUAUAAAAAAUUGUUCUUUUUCAAUUGAUAUUUUAAACUUGAAGGUUUUCUGCUUGUGGAAG
rnacentral:lncRNA from 1 species